GAGAGGAGCGAGGGCGGGAGAGAGAGAGGGUGGAGACGGGGGCGGGGCAGGAGGCUGGAGCUCCGCCCCGGCCUCGGCAAGGCAGGAAAUAGGCCCUCAGAGUUCUGCCCAGUCAGGCGAGAGUCGGAACUCGCCGCGGGGAGGCCUACUCUGUGAGGGCUAUGCGCAGACUUCAGAGCAAAGUUUAACGGAAAUCCGAGGUUGAAGAAGAUAUUAGAGGUUCCUGUUCCAUUCCACCUGCAUUACUGAUGCUCCCACCGCCAGCUACUCUAGGACCUGGGGGCUUUGGGGACACGCACGUAAACCAAGGUGUUCUGGCCCCUAAAGAACACGCAGAAAUAACCCUAAAUUACGACGCAGAUCAUAGACGUAGCAUAAAGGCUUAUGAGGCUCAGAGAACCUGGAGAAUGUCGGCUGGGGAACCAAGGAGGGAAUUCAAGGAGGCAGUGUGAGGUUUCUUCAGAUGCACGUUGAGAUCCCCGUGCUGUCCUACCUUCUGCAGCUAAGCCAGGUUUGGAUAAGGUGAAGCCUCCGAAAAGUGAGCAUCUGCGAAUUAGGAGGGAAAGAGUGUGCGCUGCAAGUGAUUUAUGGCUCUUAAAGUCACACUUUAGCCAAACAGCCUUUUGCAAGAACUAUGAGAUUUUGGGACUGGGAUUUAGCUCAGUGGUUUCGCUGCCUGCUGCGCAAGCUCAAGGACCAGAGUUCGAUCCCCGGCACCAAAAAAAAAAAAAAAAAAGAACUGUGAGAUUCAAGUUAUUUUUCAUGCAUUUGUGGUUCCUUUCCAGGCCUUUGGCUGAGCUAGAUUUUCAACUAUUGAAAUUGCCAACAUGGUGGAGAUGGUCGAGGCGUUGCUUCCAGCUCUUGAGAAGAACACCUCCUUCUUCCACCUUACCUUCCACCUUACCUGUCUUGAGCUUCUGUUUCUAAGGCCAAGUCAUUAGAGUCACAUGUCUCUCAAAGUAAUGGGUAGGAUGGCUCACUAUAAGGGAACACGUUUUUCUCUCCCCACCUCCAAAUUCCAUAGGUUUGCCCAGUUUUAUCUGCUAAUAAGUGGUGACCGAUCUUGAAGUUGGAAUUCACGGAAGUCCUACCAAACUGUUGUUCUACAAACAAGUAAAGGAGAGUGCACAGUUGAAACCGGCCCAGAAUAUAUCAGAGACUCACAGAGCUUCUAAGAUGAUCUAUAUAGUCAUGGUGGACUGAUUUCUGGAGCUGCUGAGUCAUUCUGUGGCCCUCAGCAGAGACAUUUCUAGCACCUUGAAGAGAGAUGAGUGGAUAAACGAAAAAUCCUUGGUCUUUAAAGGCAUCACUGAGCCUCUGCAAUCAACUCCAGAUUUAAGUAAAAAAUAAACACACCUAUGGUCUCAGGCGGUUUAAAGGGGAUCCCUGUAAUUUGUAGCUGAGUUCUUUCUUGUGGAUUCAGAAGAUGAGGAA
ensembl:lncRNA